rnacentral:rRNA from 1 species
AACGAACGCUGGCGGCAGGCCUAACACAUGCAAGUCGAGCGAAGCCUUCGGGCUUAGCGGCGGACGGGUGAGUAACGCGUGGGAACGUGCCCAUUGGUACGGAAUAGCCCCGGGAAACUGGGAGUAAUACCGUAUGUGGUCGAGAGACGAAAGAUUUAUCGCCAAAGGAUCGGCCCGCGUUGGAUUAGGUAGUUGGUGGGGUAAUGGCCUACCAAGCCGACGAUCCAUAGCUGGUUUGAGAGGAUGAUCAGCCACACUGGGACUGAGACACGGCCCAGACUCCUACGGGAGGCAGCAGUGGGGAAUCUUAGACAAUGGGGGAAACCCUGAUCUAGCCAUGCCGCGUGAUCGAUGAAGGCCUUAGGGUUGUAAAGAUCCUUCAGUGAGGAAGAUAAUGACUGUACCCACAGAAGAAGCCCCGGCUAACUCCGUGCCAGCCGCCGCGGUAACAC